AACAGUGGAGCAAAUGGUUAAAGCACUUAGCUGCUAACCAAAAGGUUGGUGGUUCAAGUCUACCCACAGGUG
rnacentral:tRNA from 1 species